rnacentral:lncRNA from 1 species
UAAAAUUCAAAUUUGAAAUUCAAAAUUUGUACUAGAUUGUAUAAUUCCACCCCAAUAUUAUCCUUUUUUCCACUUGGAUUUCAAAAUUUUACUAGAUUGUACAAUUCUCCCUCAAUCUUAUUCUUUUUUCAUUUUUGAAAUUCAAAAUUUGUACUAGAUUGUACAAUUUCACCUCACGUUAUCAUCCAACAAACUUGUUCCUCAAUUUCAAAUUCCCAAAAACACCCAUAAAUUCUUUCUCUCACAUUGGUAGAUGAAAAGAAUUGAAUCCUCAUCAUUUCCUAUAAAUAAUACUACUAUUUUGGUAGAAAGACUAAGUCUCAAAGAGUGAAAUUUAUUUUUGAGAAAAUAGUUCAAUUUUAUUUUUUAGUAAAAAUUUUCAAUUAGUAGUCUAGUUGGUGUUCUCGAAGAAUACUUUCCGAUAGUGAUCAAGACUCUGAAGAAAGUUUGAAGUCCCGUUUUGCUGUCCCAAAAAGGUAGACACACCUUUCCCUUUUUAGUUUUAUUAUCGUUUUCUUCUUCAUCUUCUUCUUCGUAGUUCGUAGUUGUAAUUUAGUUUGCUGAAAUUGUUUGCUGUAGACGGUCUUGAAGGCCAUAGAAUGUUAUGGUAUCGAUAUUAUAGCUAUUUUCAUUUUCAUAGUAUAAAAAUGAGCUAACAAUAGUUGAACAUGUUUCUUUGGCUUUAUUCUUUGAUUAUUAUGGAUAAAGUUUUGAUCUUUGCUUAAAAGACCUGCUUUGUUUAAAUUCAUUAUUGGCGGAUAUAUAUUUAUUUUUAGCAUGUAAAGUUAUUUUGUUUAUGCCGAAAAGAAUAUUUACUAUUGUUUGUUUUGCCUUAAUAAAAUAGUAAUUGGUUAAGUCAAAAACUUGUCAUUUGCUUGCUAAUUAUUUUAAUGAAUAUCAAAAUUCUCAUAUGAGAGAUAAAGUGUUAGCUUUAUUUUCCAUCCAAGAUGUUUAUUCUUUUUUUUUUUCGCAUGUUGUUUUGUCAAAAUGAUGAGAAGUUCAGAUUUUUGUGGCUAAAUAGAAUUAUUUAGAUAUUUUCGAGUCAUGCACAGUAUGAUUGUUGAAUGAUAUUUCACUUUUAGAGAUGCUAAACUUUUAUUCUAAUUUUCUUACUCCCUUUGGAUUGUAAUAUGUGCUCUUUGUGUGUAUAAAGACUUGAUUCGUGUCUCUCUUUGAUUCAUAAUAUCAAAAGAGAAUCAAGGAUGUCUUAGAAAGAUAAACUAUAGGUCGUUACAUGUUUUUCCUAAAGUUGGCCAUAAGUUAGAUGUAUGAAUCAUCGUUAUUGUCGUCUUAGUUAGAGUUUAAAGAUUUCCUUUCUUAAAAGUUAGCCUCCACCUUCUUUUUUGUUAUAUGGGUUAAUUUCUUUUUCGUUGGAUGAUUUGAUUUGUUUUAAUAUCAUAGUUUACUAUUUCUUUAUGUAUGAGAAUGCUAUUUUUCCAUUUCAUCAUUUAUCUAAGCACGUAUUAAUUCCCAUAUCUUUUACUUUGCAUGAAUCUACUUUGGAGUCCAAAUGGACUCCUUUCCCCCUUGCAUGUCGUAAUGGUCCAAUGAGGCCAACCUCUUCGAAGAUUAAGUCCAAAAGUCGAUUAUAUGGCGUGCGGGUGCAAGAAGAUAGACAAAGAAGAAAAAUAGGUUAAAACCCAUUGAUGAGGUCGCUAAGAGAUUUGAAAGGUCUUAAUUUUUAUUAUUGUUUUAUUCUUUAUUUAUUUAUUUGUUUAUUUAUUUGUUUAUCUAUUUGAUCAUUCAUUUGGGCCUCGAAGCAAAAGUUGUAAAUUAAUACAGGUGAAGCAGGUUGUCGGCCAAAAGCCAAAAGAUCUAAAUUAGUACACGUGAAGAUGGGCUAAAAGCCCAAAUGAAUAGUUUAGGAUAGGUGCAGGUGGGCCAAAACCCCAAUUAGAUUAGGACAGGGAUUUGGGCUUACGAGCCUAAGUCUUAUAAUUCUCUCCUUUCCCUUUUCAUGCUAUUUGAUAGUAGCUUUCUUAGAAAUAGUUAAAUUCCCCACUAAGUUGCCCAAAAAUUGAUUUUGUGUAAAUGUUUUCUUGAUUAAUUUCUUUUCAAAAACCAACUUCUUUUCUCUAAGUUAUUCAAAGAAUCAUUUUCAAAUAGUCCGGAUAACCGCAAGUUAGCGGAUACUCUUGAUGCCUUAACAACCUUUCAAGAGUAUUAAUAGAAAUCGCUUACUCAGAAUCUUCAAACUUAAAUGAUUUUUCUAUUUUGGAUCGUUUAGGUAAUUUCAAAGGUUUCCUUGAUUUUCCUAAAUAAAUUCAGUGACGACUCUAUUUUCGAGUUUAAAAACUUUUUUCGAAAGUAUUUGAACUUGUGAAAAACACCAAAAAGUCAUUUCUUUGCAAAACAGUUUCUUGUCAAGAUUAGUUCUCUACGCCGUGCUAUGCAUGAACCAAUAUUGAUCCUUAAAAAUUGGAUGUUAUGUAUAAUUCUAUCAUUUAAUUAAAAUCUUUAUUUAUUUGGUUGAUUAAUUCUAAGUUAGGCAUAUAUUAUUAUAUUUAGAUUGAUGAAACUUGUAUAACUAUAUUUUAAGUUGUUCAAACUUUUGUGACAUUGAUAGUCAAUUAUAUUUUUUCAUAAUUUAAAUUUUUAAUUAUUGUGAUUUAUAAUAAUUUUUCUUCUAUUCUACUAAUUAGAAGUGACAUAGUAAAAUUAUUAUAAAAAAUAUUUGUAAUUUUUUUUAAGUGUUCCCAUAUAAGACAUCAUG